rnacentral:rRNA from 1 species
GACGUAGGAGGCGAGCGUUAUCCGGAUUCACUGGGCGUAAAGCGCAUGUAGGCGGCUGGAUCAGUCGUGUGUUAAAGCCCCCCGGCUCAAUGGGGGAGGUCAUGCGAGACUAUUCGGCUUGAGGGCAGCAGAGGAGCGUGGAACUCCCGGUGUAGCGGUGAAAUGCGCAGAUAUCAGGAAGAACACCCGUGGCUAAGGCGGCUCUCUAGUACGGUACUGACGCUGAGACGCGAAAGCGUGGGGAGCGAACAGG